GGCAGCAUUCUUCAAACAGAUACUCAGAGACUCCUUGUAUUUGGAUGUUAGUGUGAGCAUGAGGAAUGCUUCAGAGAUGGUCAGCAGCCACUCUGGUCUCCCAUUUGCAUAGUUCAGUCACGAUGUGGGAUCCAGAAUGGUAGAUCUGGAAGCAGAGUUUGAAAACCCAUACUCUCUGUUUCAGUUCAUCUCCCUGUCAGUAUCUUUGCGCCAGAGUAGAUAAUACAAGAGAGGCUAAGACAGAAUGAAAGAAACCCAUUGAUUGAGAGGAAACGGUGACCUUCAUUCAUCCUAAGAAAUGUAGCUUCUUUAGCAAAACUCAUAUUUUGUGUUUGAAAUCUCUUAUCUACGUCAGCAGCAUCUACUCAGUCAUCUGAAAUCCAUCAAACACUUCUAAAGCCAUCUUCCUUUAAACAUAGGUUAUACGUGGGACGCCUACCACAGCAUGGCUGCCAAGCAGUGCCAUGUCUGCACCCGGGAUCCGAACCAGCGAACCCCGGGCCGCCAAGAAGCGGAACGUGCAAACUUAACCGCUGCGCCACCGGGCCAGCCCCUCUCUCUCUCUCACUUUUUAAAUCAGAAUGGCUGUUUAAGUACCAUUUAGGAAGCUUCUUAGAAAAACAGAUCUCUAGAGAUUUUCUUUC
rnacentral:lncRNA from 1 species